UACGUAGGGUGCGAGCGUUAAUCGGAAUUACUGGGCGUAAAGCGUGCGCAGGCGGUGAUGUAAGACCGAUGUGAAAUCCCCGGGCUCAACCCGGGAACUGCGUCCGAUACUGGGAGGCUUGAAUCCGGGAGAGGGAUGUGGAAUUCCAGGUGUAGCGGUGAAAUGCGUAGAUAUCUGGAGGAACACCGGUGGCGAAGGCGGCAUCCUGGACCGGUAUUGACGCUGAGGCGCGAAAGCUAGGGGAGCAAACGGGG
rnacentral:rRNA from 1 species